rnacentral:rRNA from 1 species
AGAGUUUGAUCCUGGCUCAGAAUCAACGCUGGCGGCGUGCCUAACACAUGCAAGUCGAACGAGAAAGUGGAGCAAUCCAUGAGUAAAGUGGCGACCGGGUGAGUAACACGUGACUACCUACCUUCGAGUGGGGGAUAACUCCGGGAAACCGGGGCUAAUACCGCAUAACAUCGAGAGAUCAAAGGAGCAAUUCGCUUGAA